AGUGAACGCUGGCGGUAGGCCUAACACAUGCAAGUCGAACGGCAGCACAGUAAGAGCUUGCUCUUACGGGUGGCGAGUGGCGGACGGGUGAGGAAUACAUCGGAAUCUACUUUUUCGUGGGGGAUAACGUAGGGAAACUUACGCUAAUACCGCAUACGACCUACGGGUGAAAGCAGGGGAUCUUCGGACCUUGCGCGAUUGAAUGAGCCGAUGUCGGAUUAGCUAGUUGGCGGGGUAAAGGCCCACCAAGGCGACGAUCCGUAGCUGGUCUGAGAGGAUGAUCAGCCACACUGGAGCUGAGACACGGUCCAGACUCCUACGGGAGGCAGCAGUGGGGAAUAUUGGAAAAUGGGCGCAAGCCUGAUCCAGCCAUACCGCGUGGGUGAAGAAGGCCUUCGGGUUGUAAAGCCCUUUUGUUGGGAAAGAAAAGCAGCAGGUUAAUACCCCGCUGUUCUGACGGUACCCAAAGAAUAAGCACCGGCUAACUUCGU
rnacentral:rRNA from 1 species